rnacentral:misc_RNA from 1 species
AGAAGGUUGUAAGAAGUGCCCCUGCACGACCCAUCGUCAAGCCCCUAAAGAGCUCCACAAAAUCUAAGCUGAAAUGAGUUGAAUGCCUUGAAUCAAAAAGAUUUUUGUUUUUCUAAUGCCAUGAAACUUAACAUGGUUGAGAUGAAAGCAUGCUGUUCUGCCAAAAUCAAUUUUGAACACAAACUACUUGUGAUAUUAAGUGGACGUCAACAAUACGUUUAUUAGGGAACUGAGGAAUCUAAGAAGGCUUGUCUGCAUUUCCUUAAUAUCAGAUAUUGUAUUCUUCUGUUUAAAAAAAA